GGAGGAUUUAGCAGUAAAUUAAGAAUAGAGUGCUUAAUUGAACAAGGCCAUAAAGCACGCACACACCGCCCGUCACUCCCCUCAAAUAUACUUAAGGACUAUAUUAACUAAACACCCUAAUACCUAUAUAGAGGGGAUAAGUCGUAACACGGUAAGUGUACCGGAAGGUGCACUUGGAUAAAU
rnacentral:rRNA from 1 species